UCUGACCGGCCCCCCUGAGCGCGUGCCCCCCGCCCGCAGGACCCGACAGCCCGGUGUCCCCGCUGAAGGAGCUGAAGGAGGUGAAGGAGCUGACGCACGCCGUGCGCAGGCAGCAGCGGGCCCUGGAGCAGCGCCUGGAGGCCUGCCUGGAGGAGCUGAGGAGGCUCUGCUUGCGGGAGGCGGAGCUGACGGGCGUCCUGCCCGCCGAGUACCCCCUCAAACCUGGGGAGACGGCCCCCAAGGUCCGCCGCAGGGUCGGGGCGGCGUAUAAGCUGGACGAGCAGGCCCUGCAGGGAGAGGACCCCCUGAGCAGCCUGGAGCAGGAGCUGGCCCUGCAGCUGCAAAUCUCAGAGGCCUGCCUGGAGGAGGAGGCUAUUCUCUGUGACUCCAGGGCCCCUCCUCCUAGGCCUCCUGCGUCCCAA